UCUUAAGCGUUUCCAUCCUUGCAUCCAUUGCUUAUGCUUUUCUUUAUGGUGUUGCAUGGGCUUGGUGGGUUCCUUAUUUUAGCUCUUUAUUUGGCAUUAUCUUUGUGAUGGCCAGA